rnacentral:lncRNA from 1 species
AAGAAACCUCUUUUGCUUUGAUAUUUGAUUAAUCUCCAAAAAAAAAACUAGCCUCUCCAAAAACUAGCCUUUACAAUAACUCUUCUCCUUGAUUACUCUAAAAAAACCUCUCAAAAAUCCUUUACAAUAACUUUCUCCCCCAAAACUUCUUCCUCCCCUAAAUACAAAUUAUGAGAAGGCUUAUAUAGCCAUUUACAAAAUAUUUUUU